rnacentral:rRNA from 1 species
GUGGGGAAUAUUGGACAAUGGGGGGAACCCUGAUCCAGCCAUGCCGCGUGUGUGAAGAAGGCCUUUUGGUUGUAAAGCACUUUAAGCGAGGAGGAGGCUACCGAGAUUAAUACACUUGGAUAGUGGACGUUACUCGCAGAAUAAGCACCGGCUAACUCUGUGCCAGCAGCCGCGGUAAUACAGAGGGUGCAAGCGUUAAUCGGAUUUACUGGGCGUAAAGCGCGCGUAGGUGGCCAAUUAAGUCAAAUGUGAAAUCCCCGAGCUUAACUGGGGAAUUGCAUUCGAUACUGGUUGGCUAGAGUAUGGGAGAGGAUGGUAGAAUUCCAGGUGUAGCGGUGAACUGCGUAGAGAUCUGGAGGAAUACCGAUGGCGAAGGCAGCCAUCUGGCCUAAUACUGACACUGAGGUGCGAAAGCAUGGGGAGCAAACAGGAUUAGAAACCCUAGUAGUCC